rnacentral:sRNA from 1 species
AGCCUUCCAGCUCCCUGCAGCAGUCAUGGGGCAGGGUUCCCCGAGUCCAUCAUCCCCAUUUCCACCUACUUUCCCUUAGUUGUUUGAUUCCCUCUGUGUCGUACUCAGCUUAAGUGGAGCAUCCCCUUUCCUGGGAGACACGAAGCAGGAAACACUGGCAAAUAUCACAGCAGUGAGUUACGACUUUGAUGAGGAAUUCUUCAGCCAGACGAGCGAGCUGGCCAAGGACUUCAUUCGGAAGCUUCUGGUUAAAGAGACCCGGAAACGGCUCACAAUCCAAGAGGCUCUCAGACACCCCUGGAUCACGCCGGUGGACAACCAGCAAGCCAUGGUGCGCAGGGAGUCUGUGGUCAAUCUGGAGAACUUCAGGAAGCAGUAUGUCCGCAGGCGGUGGAAGCUUUCCUUCAGCAUCGUGUCCCUGUGCAACCACCUCACCCGCUCGCUGAUGAAGAAGGUGCACCUGAGGCCGGAUGAGGACCUGGUGGGUAAAUGCAUGCCCUCUUCUUGGGCAGAAUUCUGGGGUAGCCUGGAGCUCAG